CGCAUUGCUGAAAAGUGCUCUUGCGUAAGGACGUUCGACUUCUGUGGAGCCCAGGUGAGAAAGGCCCUCCUGUGUCCCGGUUGAGGGUCUUCAGGGUUCUUUGGGGCCAGAGAGUCUUCCUCUGUCACCCAGGCUGGAGUGCACUGGCACAAUCUCAGCUCACUACAACCUUUGCCUCCUGGGUUCAAGCGAUUCUCCUGCCUCAGCCUCCUGAGUAGCUGGGACUACAGGAUUCCUGAAAUCAUGGAUCACCCACAUACGCUUUGAGACAUGCUUCUUUUUUUUUUUUCUGGAAGCCCUGUGACUUCCCUAAAAAUUGAGUGAAUAAUUAUAGAACAGAUUACGGCCAAUGGUGGCAGAGUCUACAUAGAACUAUGCUUCGUGGUGUUCUGGGGAAAACGUUUCGACUUGUUGGCUAUACUAUUCAGUAUGGCUGUAUAGCUCAUUGUGCUUUUGAAUACGUUGGUGGUGUUGUCAUGGUUGCCAGGUCUGGUCUUGAACUCCUGGUCUCAAGUGAUUCUUCCAAAAUUUUGGGAUUACACAUGUGAGCCACCAUACCUGGCCAUGAAAAUCUUUAAAGUCCAUCUCAUCAUGCUAGUAUUUUUCAGAAGAAAAUUUAAGUGGCAGCCCCAUGAAGAUGUUCUGGACCAUCAAUGGAGCCUACAAUUCAAAAUUCAGAUAUUGUCUUUGCAGAAAACCUUAGUCGACAUUUUUAUGGUAUCCAAAGGUAAAUUCCAGUCAUGGAUAUAUUAAAUUUACAGUGAAAAUACACAUACACAUGAUACCUUUUCUGCAGUUCCUUAAGUUUAUCUUUAAAAACUCUCAUAAAUAACCAUAUUAAUGAUGAGCUCGAUAAAAUUUUGAGUCAAAUAUUUUCUUUCAGUUUGAGAAAUGGUUAAUAGUUUCUCAAACAUACAAUCUCUUGGGUUAUUGUAUUUCUUGUAUCAUUGUAAAAACUAAUUAGCAGUCCCUUACAAUAUACGUGUAAACUUGACUUUUUUUUAAUUGGGUUUUAGAAGGUUUUGAGUUAAGCAUUAGGAACUUAGGGAUUACAUUAAAUAUCCACUGUUUUUGUUCUUUAAUUUUAAAAGUAAUCCUGUAGUUCUAUUGAUUGCUGUCUUACUUAUUCUCUAUAUAUGGCCUAUGAUGAGCAUGUGAUGAUUUUAAUUUUUAAAAAAUUUUCUGAUACACAUUUUUUGAGAUGGGGUCUUGCUUUGGCUCCCAGACUGGAGUGCAGUGGUAUGAUCUCAGUUCCCUGCAGCCUCAAUCUCCUGGGCUCCAGUGACCCUCCCCCUCAGCCUCCCAAGUAGCUGUGACUACAUGUGUAUACCACUGUGCCCAGCUAAUUUUUGUAGUUUUUGUAGAGACUGGGAUUUGCCAUUUUGCCCAGGCUGGUCUCGAACGCCUAAGCUCAAGCAAUCAAUCGACUCACCUAAGCCUCCCAAAGUCUAGGUAUUACAGGUAUGAGCCACUGUGCCCAGCCCAUUUGAUGUUUUUAGAUUGCAUUAUUGUAUAUGGCUGACAACCAGGAAUUUUAUAUAUUAUGAGUCUCCUGAUUAAUUAUAUUAAGUUGAAUAAUUCCUGGGCAAAUAUUGUUUGUCACUAAACCUUUUAAAAUCCUAUUUCAAAUGGUGGUUCCAAUCCUUGUGAUACCCAUUAUUCUAAUUAACUCCAUGAGAAUGAUUUCUUCCAAAUGAAUGUCAAGUAUUAAUAAUUUAUUUUCUAAAGAGCAUCUCUCUGACAUCCUAAAAUUUUGAGUCCAUUUGUUUUUUAUAAUUCUGAAAAAAAUCUAUGCCAGCUUUUAUUUCAGUAAACUACAACUUUGAUUCUCUUGAGCUAGUAUUUAGUUUAUGGCAUAAUAAGCAGGUUUAGGCACUUUUCUUUCACUAUUCACCUUUGCUAUAACCUGUUUCACAUUAUUAAAAAUCAUGAAGAAUAGUGUAUAAACUGUUCUUCACAUUUACUGAUCUUUCACCAUCCUUAGAUUCUGCAGAUAGAAACUCUUGAUCAAGCUAUAUGGUUUGGCAUGCUCCGUAGAGGUGACAUUGUGAUUGCAAAAAGCCCAAGUGAUCCAAAAUCAAAUAUUUGUAAAAGAGUAAUUGGUUUGGAAGGAGACAAAAUCCUCACCACUAGUCCAUCAAAUUUCUUUAAAAGCCAUAGUUAUCUAGAAAAAGUGCAAGGACAGUAAAAUGGAAGAAUGAAGAGUAGAUAAAAUGCAUUAGCUCCUUUCACCAAUCAUGUGGCUUCUGUAACAGAGCUUCUCUGGAAGAGGUGGCCUUUUGUUUACUCCACAUAUAUUCUUCUUACUUUAAUAAUUAUAGCUAAAUUUUCUACCUUACUGUAAAUCUUCUGUUGCUAUCAAAUUAUUAAUGCAGCUGUUUGUUAACUAACAUUAUCUCUGUAUUCAUCCUCAAUGUAAACACAUAACUGAAUAAUUACAUUGCCAGUGUAAAUUUAUUUUGAACCAUAAUAGCCUCUGAUUGCCCUAUAAGUAAGUUUGAUCAAUAGACUGUUAAAUAAUCAAUUAUUUAUUUACCAUCUGUAAUCGACUACGGUUCAACUGUGCAAGUGUUUUUGAUGUUUAUUAUGCAUUUACAAUGCUAAAUACACAGUAAUUGUUAGCUUAUGGUGAUAACAGUGUUAAAGAUGAUAGUGUGCUGUCAGAUAACAUUUUUCUACCAUUGCUUUCAUCAUGGACACUGUAUCCUCUUCUUAAAUAAUGUUGGAUUUUCCAUAUAGUUCACCUUCAUAUGACUAUUAGCAUUUCCUAAGAUAUUCUAGUCACUUCUACAUUGCUUUAGCAACAUGUAUGUACUUGAAACCAGAACUGGUAUCAACAGACAGAACAACAGAACAAAUACAUAACAUCCUCUAGGUACUUAACACCAUAUCAUUGUUACUGUUGAUUUUUUUUAAGAGUUAUUAGAGGUGGAUGUCAGUACCAAAGGAUUCAGAUAAAGUCUCUGCUAAAUUACCAGAGCAUAUAACCAGCACUGUAAGAUGUAAAUUUUUUAAAGUUCUAUUAGAGGAAAAUAUUCUUUGAGUUUUGUUUUUGAUUUUAAUUAACACAUAAUGGUUGUACAUUAUUUAUGGAGAAAUAGUAUGAUGUUUUAAUAUGUAUAUACAUUGUAUACAAAUGAAAUUAGGACAUUUAGCAUAUCCAUUACCUCAUACAUUUUUUGUUUGCUUAUAGUGAGAACAUUCAAAAUCCUCUUUCAGCACUUUUUUUUUUUUUUUUUUUUUUGACAGGGUCUUGCUCUGUUGCCCAAGCUGGAAUGCAGUGCUACAAUCUCAGCUCACUGCAACCUCCUCCUACAGGGCUCAGAUGCUCCUCCCACAUCAGCCUUCUGAGUUGCUCUUUCACUUGUUUUGAAAUAUACAAUACAAUAUUGUUAACCAUAAUUACCCUACUGUGCAGUAGAACACUAGUAGGGUAUUCUAUUACUGAGUUUUUAUGUUUGAUAAAUGUACAAAUUAGAUAACAAUUGCCAUUUUGUUCCGGGUAUAUCCCAUUCACUUUUGUUGGACACCUUUCUAAGUUUACAAUACAUCAUUCUAAUAAUUUUGGUCAGCACUUAUUUUAUACUUCCUCCAUACUGUUGAGAAUCUUUUCAAAGGUUAACUUAUUUAAUUAUUACAACAGCAACCCAGUGAGGUAGGUAAUACUAAUAUUUUACUGAUAGGUAAUCAAAAAAAGAGGCUAAAUAAAUUGCCCAAUUUCAAACAGUAAGAGGAAGAAUGAGGAUUGAAAUACAAAUAGUGGCUUUAGAAUCUGUAAUCCUCACCAUGCCACUACUACUUCUUUCAGAAUACCCUCUGCCUAUCUAUUCUGUUCCCAUCUCAUCAAAUUAUACUUACUUUAAAAUGUAUUUGUGUUUAUUAUUUAAAAAAAAAAAACAAAGGGAAGUAUUUCUGAUCAGGUGCAGUAUUGGUUUUGAAAGAGGCCAGUGUUUUUGAGAGUUUCUCCCUUGCCAGUUUUUCUAGGCUGGGUUAUUCAAGUGAUAAGAAUUGUGUAGCUAGUACAGAACCACUUUAGCAAAUGUGUUCCAUAAAUCAAGGUGAUUUAUAACAAUAUUUCAUCCAAGUUUGGAGUGCUUUGAAAAGAUAGCCAAAAUGUUUCCAGGGUCUCCUUCUUGUGUGUGUGUCCCUUUUUUCAGCUAUCUCAGAAGCACACUGGUGCUAUUUUAUGAAAUAAGUGUCUUCUCUUACCUCUGCAUCCUCUUAGAAAACGUAUUUUUUUAUGAGAUGAAGAUAUUACUAUUCAUAUCUUGAUUGAGCUGCUUAAUAAAAUGAAUAUUAAAAUAUGUUUUGAAUUCCAGGCAAAAAAAGUUUAUUCUUGUAUAUAAAUGCUUCAGAAAGCAAAGCGCUAAAUUGUUCAUUGGAACCUAGCCUGUAGAGUUUAGCAUAUCAAAAAAGUAGUAUUGUUGGUAGGUUGGCAGAAAAUAAUAUAAACAAACCAUUGGUUAAGUGAUAUAGUGAUGUGGGAUCAUUUUAUUCAUUCCAGAGUUCCUUUUUGUUUGUUUGUUUUCCAUUCCAGAGUUUUAAAAGACCACAUAGCAAUCAGUCUUAUAAUUCAGCUUUAUUUUUUGCUGUUAGGUAUUUGGAAACUAAGUAGUCCCUAUUAAGAUGCUAUAUGCUAUUGCUGUGGGUUUUGCUUACUGUGAGGGUACUGAAGCCGAUAAUUCUUUCCUGGGGUUAUGAACUGAGCACUGGCUACUGUAAGGAUAUGAGAUUAAUUUGUGACUCUCAAAAAAAAAAAAAAUUAUCAUGAGCUCAAACAUCUUGAGUACCUUGCCUUUCUCUGUAUGCUACAGGAAUUUCUCAGUUUCCUGCCAGAAUCCACUACUUUAUCAGAAAAAAUAAUUUAGUUGGAAGUAGUAGCAUGUAGCAAAUAAGAAAUAAACAAUGAAUUGGCAUUCUCAUAUCAGUUUGCACAGCAGGCAAAAUGCAAAGUAAACCUCUAAUUUAGUCUUCAAUCCCUUAGGGAGGCCAGGGCUCAGAAAAACACUAAAAUUUUGUUAUAAAGCCACUUAUGAAGAAAAGUACUUUAUAAUGUUUAUUAGGAUAAUAUUGUAUGAUAAUCCAGGACUAUGCUUUUAAUCCAUGGGGUAAUUGGAAUAGUUAGGCAUUUUGAAAUAUAGUAAAUUCCUAUCAAAAAACAUGUUGUAAAAUCUACAUCUAAAUAAACUCCCUCAAUACCACAUCCUCCUAUAGGGAAGAGUUGUGUGUAGUUACUCCACUCUGAGCUUCCUAUUAUUUUUGUGAACUCAUUCCAGUUAGGCUUUGGUCUCCACCACUUCACUGAUGGUUCUUGUCCAAGUCCCCAGUGAUUUCUCUUGUCACUCCAGUGAUCAACUCUCAGUCCUCAUCAUACUUAAGCUAUUGUUAGUAUUUGAAAUAAUUAUUCUCAAAACCUGGUGUCACUUAUUUUUAGAACACUGCUCUUUCUAGGUUUUUUCCCUAUCUUUCUGACUGCUGCUUCUGAAUUUACUUUAUUGGUUCCUCCUCAUAUCCAAACAUUGGAAUGUUCUUCAAAUCUUGGAGUUAACUAAAGGUUCAUAUUUUAAACUUCUGUUGUUUAUAUACACUUACACUUUAGCUGACCUCAUCCUGUCUCAUGGUUUUAAGUACAGUACUUUUAAAUUUACUCUCAAAUUUAUAUCAACUAUAACCUUUUCCCUCAACUCCAGAAUCAUGUCUAAUUGUCUGAUAUCUUCAUUUCAAAGAAUAAUGGUCAUCUCAAACUUACUGUAUCCAAAACUAAAAUCCUGAUUUUCUUUCCCAAACUGGCUCCUUCUGUACACUUCCCAAUCACAGUAAAGAAUUAAUAAGGAUAUCCUGGACUUGAACUCAGAUCCGGAGCAAGUAAACUUAAUAAACAUUUAUAGAACUCUCCACUUAAAACGUAGAAGAUAUGCACUCAUAUCAGUACCACAUCACACCUACUCACAGGUUUAAAUGAAAUAUUGGUUGGCCGUUAUUAAGCACGAUUGAUGGUAUAAGGGAGGUUUUCAAUACCCAUUUUUAGACUGCAUUCUAGCCUGGGCAACUAAACAAUACUCCCGUUCUCUCUCCCUCCUCCUCUUCCUCUUUUUUCCUCUUCUUCAUUCCUUUUUUUCUCUUUCUUCCUUUCAAAAAAAAAAAAAAUUACUUUCUUUCUCUGUCACUCUACAUCCAGUCCCUUAGCAAAUCAUGAUUAAACCUUUUAUAUAUAAUCAGAAUCAAGCCACAUUUUGCCACUGUCACUGCUACCCUCCAUUAGUUUGCAAGGUAAACUCGUCUGUCUCAUGUUGUUGCAGUAGUUUCUGAACUGCUUUCUUUGCUUAUACCCUUCCCCUUUUCUUGCUUCUCUAACCCUUCCGUUGAUAUUCUCCACACAGCAACUAAGGUCAUCCUUUUUGAUGACGAUGCUUUUUAAGAGCAAUUAUGUCACUCUUCUGCUCAAAGACUCCAGUGGUUCCCCAUCUCAUAAUAAAAGCCAUAGGUCUUACGGUGGCCUGCAAGACCCUGCAUAAUCAUUUUCCCUGCUGCCUUUCUUGUAAUUAUUGUGUCAUUGGAACACAAUCAUCCCCAUUAAUUUAUCUGUUGUCUGUGUUUGCUUUCUUUAAAAUGUCAGAGUUGAAUAGUUGUGACAGAAACUAUAUGGCUUGCGACGCCUAGACUAUUUCCUAUCUGGCCCUGUACAGAAAAAGUUUGCUGACCCCUUGAUCUAGAGUGUAAGAUUCUUGGUGACAGGGACUCAUUUUGAUCACAGUUGAUUUCCUAUCAUUUCAGCUGUGAUUUGGCAGCUAUUAGAUAUUUUUUAAAUACUUGAAGGGUAGACAGAUCUAGGUAUAUAUGAAUAGGUUGCUAGUUUCUUUUCUACUUCUACUCAUUUUUUCUACUAGUUUCUAUUGCAAACUUGCUCCCAAGUAAAUGCAUGCUGUUACGACUUCUCAGAAGAUGUUCCUGGAGCCUACCACACUGCUGAACUGGCCAAUCUGUGGUCAUUCUAGUCUUCCUAGACUUCAAAGCUAAGCUAUUUCCAAUGGUAAGACUACCUGAUCACCUUACAAAGUGGCAGGUGAAAAUUGUACAAAAUUUUGGAAUGUUCCUCUUACUGUGUACCAGAACAGCAGAGUGCUGAUUAAAUGUUUCUUUUCCUAAGUAACUUGUAUUUAGGACGGUAUAUUUUUCAGGCCUUUCAUUAAGCAGAAUAAAAAUUUACCAGGCUCUGAAUUGACUUAUCACCAUAGAAUAUUGAAUUUAGUUAAGAUUAAGUUUCUUAAAGUAUUAGGGGAAUUGAGCUAUUCUGGGCUUACCUUAUUCUCAUUUUAAAGGAAGCUUUGGUGACCCUGAAAUGCUAUGGUGGUUUUAUUGCAAUGAAGGCUAUUACCCUUGCAACACUCAUUGCCUACUAAUUAGGUUGCAUAGCAAUAAGAAUUUCUGCAUUUCUGUAGAGAUACAUGUGCCUUUUGAACAUAUUUAACUAUUAUACAGAUAUUUUCUUUUGGUCCUUUUAUUGGUUGACAGCCUAAGGAUGGGUAAAAUUGUUACCUGGAGUUUAUAAAUGUCUCCUUUUAGUGUACACUGCUGCUUUUCUCUGGUUGUUCAUUGUAAAAUGAAGAAUCAUUUUUAAAAUUUCAGUUAAAACCUUAUUUAUUGAAUUUUU